rnacentral:rRNA from 1 species
CCUACGGGAGGCAGCAGUGAGGAAUAUUGGACAAUGGGCGGGAGCCUGAUCCAGCCAUGCCGCGUGCAGGAUGACGGCCCUAUGGGUUGUAAACUGCUUUUAUACGGGAAGAAACGCGCCCACGUGUGGGUGUCUGACGGUACCGUAAGAAUAAGGACCGGCUAACUCCGUGCCAGCAGCCGCGGUAAUACGGAGGGUCCGAGCGUUAUUCGGAAUCAUUGGGUUUAAAGGGUCCGUAGGCGGGCCUGUAAGUCAGGGGUGAAAGUUUGUGGCUCAACCAUAAAAUUGCCUUUGAUACUGCAGGUCUUGAGUCAUGGUGGGGUCGCCGGAACAUGUGGUGUAGCGGUGAAAUGCAUAGAUAUCACAUAGAACACCGAUCGCGAAGGCAGGUGGCCAACCAUGUACUGACGCUGAUGGACGAAAGCGUGGGUAGCGAACGGGAUUAGAUACCCCGGUAGUCCACGCCGUAAACGAUGGAUACUAGCUGUGGGGACUUCGGUCUCCGUGGCCAAGCGAAAGUGAUAAGUAUCCCACCUGGGGAGUACGUUCGCAAGAAUGAAACUCAAAGGAAUUGACGG